rnacentral:rRNA from 1 species
GAUGAACGCUGGCGGCGUGCCUAAUACAUGCAAGUCGAGCGAACAGACGAGGAGCUUGCUCCUCUGACGUUAGCGGCGGACGGGUGAGUAACACGUGGAUAACCUACCUAUAAGACUGGGAUAACUUCGGGAAACCGGAGCUAAUACCGGAUAAUAUAUUGAACCGCAUGGUUCAAUAGUGAAAGACGGUUUUGCUGUCACUUAUAGAUGGAUCCGCGCCGCAUUAGCUAGUUGGUAAGGUAACGGCUUACCAAGGCGACGAUGCGUAGCCGACCUGAGAGGGUGAUCGGCCACACUGGAACUGAGACACGGUCCAAACUCCUACGGGAGGCAGCAGUAGGGAAUCUUCCGCAAUGGGCGAAAGCUUGACGGAGCAACGCCGCGUGAGUGAUGAAGGUCUUCGGAUCGUAAAACUCUGUUAUUAGGGAAGAACAAAUGUGUAAGUAACUAUGCACGUCUUGACGGUACCUAAUCAGAAAGCCACGGCUAACUACGUG